rnacentral:rRNA from 1 species
UCAGAACGAACGCUGGCGGCGUGCUUAACACAUGCAAGUCGAACGCGAAAGGGACUUCGGUCCUGAGUAGAGUGGCGCACGGGUGAGUAACGCGUAGAUAAUCUGUCCUUGUGUCUGGAAUAAUACGUCGAAAGGUGUACUAAUACCGGAUAUUCUUGCUUUUCAUACGAUAGGUAAGCAAAGGUGGCCUCUGUCAUAAGCUACUGCAUAAGGAGGAGUCUGCGUACCAUUAGCUAGUAGGUGGGGUAAUGGCCCACCUAGGCUUCGAUGGUUAACGGGUCUGAGAGGAUGAUCCGUCACAUUGGCACUGGAACACGGGCCAGACUCCUACGGGAGGCAGCAGUGAGGAAUAUUGCGCAAUGGGGGCAACCCUGACGCAGCGACGCCGCGUGAGUGAGGAAGGCCUUCGGGUCGUAAAGCUCUGUCAAAGGGAAAGAAGUGCAUGGUGGUUAAUACCCAUCAUGUUUGACGGUACCCUUAAAGGAAGCACCGGCUAACUCCGUGCCAGCAGCCGCGGUAAUACGGAGGGUGCAAGCGUUGUUCGGAAUCACUGGGCGUAAAGGGCGCGCAGGCGGUUUGAUAAGUCAGAUGUGAAAGCCC